AUUGAUUAUGAGAGUGAUUCAUCUACAAAGUUGUUUUGAAAAAUAAUUGUUGGGGCCUGUUUUGCCAAGUGGUCUAAGUAGUCUAACUACUGCAUUACUACAUGUACUAGCUAGUUAACCCUUGACUCCAAUGUAACUGGUUUGGAACACUUUUUCAGGAUUUCAAAUUAUGAAUUCUUGCUAUAAUGAUAUUGUUUUCUGUUUUAUUGAUAUUUUACUGUUAUAAUUGAUAGCGAUACAUGUAUUGUAAAACUAUGGCUGCUAAAUAAUUUAAUCAAUUUAAAAUUUUUGUUCUGUGCUUACUGCUAUAAAAACAAGAUUUAUUUCAAAUAUUUAUUAUAUAUUCAUGAGAUUGUAGAAAUAUAAAAACCAAUUUAUUUUUGUUUUACCUUGGUUGAGUUCAAUAUCAUAGCUGCUAUCAAUAUCUAUGUAACAACUAGUCUAUAGCUACACGUUCAACAGUCAAAUUCUACGUAGCACUACGUAGCCGCUUCGAUAUUGAACGCAACCCAUAUCUAAUGGUUAGAUAAAAUAGUAUAAAUCAAGUCGCCUUCAAUAAUAUGCAUUUGUAAUGAUACAGAGUACUGUCGACAUAGAAUAUGUUUAAUUCAAUUAUUUCAUUUAAGUUUGCAUCUUAUAAUUUAUAUGUUCCAUGUUUCAUUGUACUUGUAAAUUAAACAUUUAUUUAUUAGAAACUUUUUUGAAUCUCAGCACAUGAUCUUACAUAAGCCAUGGUGUGAGUGAAAAAUUUAAAACUUAUUAUUUAAUUAAAAAGAUGGUAAUCAAAUUUUUAUUUUGUUUUGAUUUUUAUAAUAUUUUGGUGUUUUAACAAAAAGAACUGUUCUAAACUUUAUGUCAGGGGAGAAAAGGUGGGGUCUAACCAAAAGCCACCAACAAUAUACCUUUAAAAACAUUCCGACUGAUUAUUAAAGCUAAUGUCAAAACAUACAAUAACCCAUCAAAGUUCAAGUGUACCUCCACUUAUAUCAUGUAUAUGGAAUAGAUCUAAUUGAAAACUAGACUAUAUUGAAGAAUUAGAAUGUUUUAAAACCUGUUCAACAUUUUUAUUCAAAAUAUUUGGGGCAUUUUUUUUAGUAAUAAAAAAUUAAAGAUUUAAAUAAUUUGAAUAAUUUUGUCAAAGAAGAUCAAAAAUUAACUCUUUAACUUAAGAUAUUAAUUAAGAUUACUGUUUCAAUUAUGAAUUGAAUAAGUGCUUUGUCAAAAUGAAUAUUUAAGAUUUAUUCCACAAAUUAUUAGUAUAGUGGGAUUUGUAAGACUUUGUGCACUGUCUUAAUGAUAUGAGAAACAGAAAUUUCUAUUCAUACAAUGUUCUGCCCCAAGUAAACUUGUAUAUUUGCUUUUAUAAGCUAAAUCUAAAAGUAUAUCUAUAUAUAAGAGCCAGCUAUAGCAUACUGAAGACUUUAUAAUAAUCAGUUGAUCAUUUCUAUUCAUACUUUUAAUUUAAUAUUAAGAACUAAUAAAAAUAAAAGGUCUAUUGUAUUGUCAUUUUUUUUACUUGCCAUUAUUUGAAUUUCAAUGAGGCAUUAUUAUGGCUGCCUAAUGCUUUAAAGGAAGGGAAGUAA
rnacentral:lncRNA from 1 species